rnacentral:rRNA from 1 species
GUAAGGAAUAUUGGUCAAUGGAGGCAACUCUGAACCAGCCAUGCCGCGUGCAGGAAGACGGCCCUAUGGGUUGUAAACUGCUUUUAUACGGGAAUAAACCUCUCUACGUGUAGAGAGUUGAAUGUACUGUAAGAAUAAGGAUCGGCUAACUCCGUGCCAGCAGCCGCGGUAAUACGGAGGAUCCAAGCGUUAUCCGGAUUUAUUGGGUUUAAAGGGUGCGUAGGCGGCCUAUUAAGUCAGGGGUGAAAGACGGUGGCUCAACCAUCGCAGUGCCCUUGAUACUGAUGGGCUUGAUUACACUGGAGGUAGGCGGAAUGUGACAAGUAGCGGUGAAAUGCAUAGAUAUGUCACAGAACACCAAUUGCGAAGGCAGCUUACUAAGGUGUCAAAGACGCUGAGGCACGAAAGCGUGGGGAUCAAACAGGAUUAGAAACCCCAGUAGUCC